GGGGCGGUGGCGGAAUUGGCAGACGCAGUGGACUUAAAAUCCACCGGUGGUGACACCGUGAGGGUUCGACCCCCUCUCGCCCCA
rnacentral:tRNA from 1 species